UACGUAGGGUGCGAGCGUUAAUCGGAAUUACUGGGCGUAAAGCGUGCGCAGGCGGUCUGUUAAGACCGAUGUGAAAUCCCCGGGCUUAACCUGGGAACUGCAUUGGUGACUUGCAGGCUUUGAGUGUGGCAGAGGGAGGUAGAAUUCCACGUGUAGCAGUGAAAUGCGUAGAGAUGUGGAGGAAUACCGAUGGCGAAGGCAGCCUCCUGGGCCAACACUGACGCUCAUGCACGAAAGCGUGGGGAGCAAACAGG
rnacentral:rRNA from 1 species